rnacentral:lncRNA from 13 species
GGGUGGUCAGGAGUGACCAUCAGUGACCAGUGGUCACUUCAGGGUGGUCAGGGGUCACUUUAGGGUGGUCAGGAGUGACCAUCAGUGACCAGGGCUCACUUUGGGGUGGUCAAGGAUGACCUUGGCGUGGUCAGCGAUGGCCACGGGUCUUCAGCGGUCACCUUAAAUAGCCACAGGUGGUCAUUGGUGACCCCAGGCCACCAUGGGGUGGACACAGAGCGGCCAUGCGUGGUCAUAGGUGACCACUGGUCAUCAAGGCAUGGACGCAGGGUGGCCAAAGGUUGACAUGGGUGGCCAUUGGUCACCAUGGGUGACCCCAGGUCAACAUGAGGUGGCCAGAGGUGGUCAUUGGUCACCAAGGGAUGGACUCAGGGUGGUCACAGGUGGUCAGGGGUCACCAGGGGCCGGACACAAGGUGGUCAGAGGUGGUCACUGGUCACUACGGGGUGAUCAUAGGUGGUCACAGGUCACCAAGGGAUGGACACAGGGUGGUCAGAAAUGACCACUGGUCACCAUGGGGUGGCUAUGGGUGGUGAGGGGUGACCCUAGGUCAGCAUGGGGUGGUCAUAGAUGACCAUUGGUCACCAAGGGAUGAGCACAGGGUGGUCAGAGGUGGUCAUGGGUGGCCAUUGGUCACCAUGGGGGAUCUUAGGUCAAUGUGGGGUGGCCAGAGGUGGUCAUCAGUCACCAAGGGAUGGACACUGGGUGGUCAGAGGAGGCUCAGGGGUCAUCAUAGGGUGGUCAGUGGUGACCAGGGGCGACCAUUGGCCACCAUGGGGUGGCCAUGGGUCACCAAGGGAUGGACACUGGGUGACCAUAGAUGGUAAUGGGUGGCCAUUGGUCACCAUGGGGGACCUUAGGUCAAUGUGGGGUGGCCAGAGGUGGUCAUGGGUCACCAAGGCAUGGACACUGGGUGACCAUAGAUGGUCAUGGGUGGCCAUUGGUCAACAUGGAGUGGCCAUGGGUGGUCAAGGAGGAACCUAGGUCAACAUGGGGUGGCCAGAGGUGGUCAUGGGUCACCAAGGGAUGGACACAGGGUGGUCAGAGGUGGUCAUGGGUCACCAAGGGAUGGACACAGAGUGGUCAUGGGUGGCCAUUGGUCACCAUGGGGUGGCCAUGGGUGGUCAGGGGUGAUCCUAGGUCAACAUGGGGUGGCCAGAGGCGAUCAUGGGUCACCAAGGGAUGGACACAGGGUGGCCANAGGUGGUCACUGGUCACCAAGGGAUGGACACAGGGUGGUCAGAGGUGGUCAUUGGUGGCCAUUGGUCACCAUGGGUGAUCCUAGGUCAACGUGGGGUGGCCAGAGGCGAUCAUGGGUCACCAAGGGAUGGACACUGGGUGGCCAUACAUGGUCAUGGGUGGCCAUUGGUCACCAUGGGGUGGCCAUGGGUGGUCAGGGGUGAUCCUAGGUCAACAUGGGGUGGCCAGAGGCGAUCAUGGGUCACCAAGGGAUGGACACAGGGUGGCCACAGGUGGUCAUGGGUGACCACUGAUCACCACGGGGUGACCGUAACUGGGCGAGGGAUGACCAGUGGUGGCCGGUGGCCGGUGGCCGCUCAGCUGAUGUAGACGCGGUGGAAGUCAUGGGCGCCGAAGGCGGCAUUGCACUUGGGGCACUUCCUCUGGCGCGUGUCGUAGCGGCUCUUGACGCACUCGAAGCAGAAGACGUGGAAGCACUUGGUCAGCACCGCGUCCUUCUUGCGGGCGUUGCAGCACGGACACGUCAGCCGGGCCUGGCGGGACGGACGGCCCAGGGGUCAGCCAGAGGUCACUCGAGGUCAAGCGAGGUCACUCAAAGUCAAGCGAGGUCACUCAAGGUCAAGCGAGGUCACUCAAGGUCAAGUGAGAUCACUCGAGGUCAAGAGAGGUCAUUGGUGGUCAAGCAGGAGUCGUUUGAGAUCAAUGGGAAUCGGUCAAGGUCAAGCAACAGUCAAUCAAGAGUCAGCCAAGGUCAAUAGGAGUCGGUCAAGGUCAACCAGGGGUCAGCAAAGGUCAACCAAGGUCAACCGGAAUUGGUUAAGGUCAAGCAAAGGUCAAGCAAAGAUCAGCCAAAGUCAACUGGAGUUGGUGAAGGUCAGCCAAGGGUCAGUCAAGGCCAGCCAAGGUCAGCCAAGGUCAACCAAGGUCAUUCAAGGUCAAGCAAGAGUCGUUUGAGGUCAAUGGGACUCGGUCAAGGUCAAGCAAGGGUCAGCCAAAAGUCAUCCCAGCUCACGUGAAGUUAGUCAAGGUCAACCAAAGGUCAGCCAAGGUCGACCAUGGGUCAGCCAAGGGUCAGCCAAGGUCAUUCAAGGCCAAGCAGGAGUCAUUUGAGGUCAACAGGAAUUGGUCAAGGUCAAGCAAGGGUCAGCCAAGGUGAACCAGGGGUCAUCCAAGGGUCAUCUAAGGGUCAGCCAAAGGCCAUUCAAGGCCAUGAAAG